rnacentral:rRNA from 1 species
CUGCGACUGAGACACGGCCCAGACUCCUACGGGAGGCAGCAGUGGGGAAUUUUGGACAAUGGGCGAAAGCCUGAUCCAGCAAUGCCGCGUGCAGGAUGAAGGCCCUCGGGUUGUAAACUGCUUAUGUACGGAACGAAAAGCCUGCGGCUA